rnacentral:rRNA from 1 species
UACCCGCAGCACAAGUGGUGGUCAUUAUUAUUGGGCCUAAAGCGUCCGUAGCUGGCUUGUUAGAUGCCUGGGUAAAUCGAUGCGCUCAACGCAUCGAACUCCGGGUAGACCGGCAAGCUUGGGACCGGGAGAGAUGUGAGCUACUCGAGGGGUAGGGGUAAAAUCCUGUAAUCCUUCGGGGAGGACCAGUGGCGAAGGCGUCACAUUAGAACGGCUCCGACAGUGAGGGACGAAGCCCUGGGGCGCAAAC